CAGUCACACGAGUUUGAUCCUGGCUCAGGAUGAACGCUGGCGGCGUGCCUAAUACAUGCAAGUCGAGCGGAAAGGCCUCUUCGGAGGUACUCGAGCGGCGGACGGCUGAGUAACGCGUAGGAACGUACCCCAAAGUGAGGGAUAACUGCUCGAAAGAGUAGCUAAUACCGCAUGUGGUCUAAGGAUUAAAGCUUCGGCGCUUUGGGAACGGCCUGCGUAAGAUUAGCUUGUUGGUGAGGUAACGGCUCACCAAGGCGACGAUCUUUAGCUGGUCUGAGAGGAUGAUCAGCCAGACUGGGACUGAGAACGGCCCAGACUCCUACGGGAGGCAGCAGUAGGGAAUUUUCCACAAUGGGCGAAAGCCUGAUGGAGCAACGCCGCGUGCAGGAUGAAUGCCUUCGGGUUGUAAACUGCUUUAUAUGUGACGAUUAUGACGGUAGCAUAUGAAUAAGGAUCGGCUAAUUCCGUG
rnacentral:rRNA from 1 species